rnacentral:rRNA from 1 species
CCCGCUCAGAAACUUAAAGGAAUUGACGGGGCCCGGCACAAGCGGUGGAGCACGUGGUUUAAUUCGAUGCAAACCGAAGAACCUUACCAGGCCUUGACAUGCAGAGAACUUUCCAGAGAUGGAUUGGUGCCUUCGGGAACUCUGACACAGGUGCUGCAUGGCUGUCGUCAGCUCGUGUCGUGAGAUGUUGGGUUAAGUCCCGUAACGAGCGCAACCCUUGUCCUUAGUUACCAGCACGUUAUGGUGGGCACUCUAAGGAGACUGCCGGUGACAAACCGGAGGAAGGUGGGAAUGACGUCAAGUCAUCAUGGCCCUUACGGCCUGGGCUACACACGUGCUACAAUGGUCGGUACAAAGGGUUGCCAAGCCGCGAGGUGGAGCUAAUCCCAUAAAACCGAUCGUAGUCCGGAUCGCAGUCUGCAACUCGACUGCGUGAAGUCGGAAUCGCUAGUAAUCGUGAAUCAGAAUGUCACGGUGAAUACGUUCCCGGGCCUU